rnacentral:lncRNA from 1 species
GGUCUAUGUGAGAGGUCAAGUUUUUGUAUUGGAGUCAAUGAAAUUUCUUAAAUCUUUUAAGAAAGAUCUUUGUUUCGGCCAAUUGUGUGGAGGAUGUGGACCCACUCCCCUAUUCUUCUCUCCCAAAUUUACUAAAGGAAAUAAUGUUGAAAAAAAAAAAAGGAGAUUCUUUCAUUCCUCGUAUUGGGGUAAACUAUUCUAAUAAAAUGAAUGGUUUUUCCAUAUAUUUAACCACUUGAAUAACUAACUAAAAGCAUAAGAAACACAUGCUAAAUAAACAAGAAAUUAGGAAUUGUGCCUAUUGCUUAUAUCGUGAGCAAUUCUGGGCUGCACCGCAUAAGAACUCCCACUAAUCCUGUUGGCCAAGGCUUGGACUAGUUUGACAUGCUUCUGACUGAAGAUCAACCUCCCAAUGAUUGAGGCAACUGACCCAUGUCUUGCUCAUAACUCUUCUACAUUAAUCCAACAUGUUAGAGUGUUUAGCAUGGUUUGGCAUAAUCUGAUCUGGCCUGGUCAUGCAACAACUUGCACUGGACAUGACUUGAUCAAAAAUUGGUGCGUCAACAUAGGAGUCUCGGUCACACCUUGGUGCACCAGCAGCAACUCUUGGCGUAUCAGUGUUUUCUGGUUUGGGCGCGUCAAGCUCAGCCUUGUGUAUAAAACAAGGGGACUUGGUCAUUUGAGUGUUAUGGCUAGGCACAACUUCAUCUUGGC